rnacentral:lncRNA from 1 species
GUAGCGUUGAAAGACUCUGUGGUCGAUGCAUCGGCACUUGCUGUAGAGGUCUCUGAUGUGACCGUCGUCGUGUUGGAAGACUCUGUGGUCGAUGCAUCAGCACUAGCUGUGGAGGUCUCUGAUGUGACCGUCGUCGUGUUGGAAGACUCUGUGG